rfam:Bacteroides faecichinchillae strain DSM 26883 genome assembly, contig: Ga0131157_108
GCGGAAGUAGCUCAGUUGAUAGAGCAUUAGCCUUCCAAGCUGAGGGUCGCGGGUUUGAGCCCCGUCUUCCGCU